UACGUAGGGUGCAAGCGUUAAUCGGAAUUACUGGGCGUAAAGCGUGCGCAGGCGGCUAUGCAAGACAGAUGUGAAAUCCCCGGGCUCAACCUGGGAACUGCAUUUGUGACUGCAUGGCUAGAGUACGGUAGAGGGGGAUGGAAUUCCGCGUGUAGCAGUGAAAUGCGUAGAGAUGUGGAGGAAUACCGAUGGCGAAGGCAGCCCCCUGGGUCGAUACUGACGCUCAUGCACGAAAGCGUGGGGAGCAAACAGG
rnacentral:rRNA from 1 species